rnacentral:rRNA from 1 species
AUUGAACGCUGGCGGCAGGCCUAACACAUGCAAGUCGAACGAGUGGCGGACGGGUGAGUAAUGUCUGGGAAACUGCCUGAUGGAGGGGGAUAACUACUGGAACCGGUAGCUAAUACCGCAUACCAUCAGAUGUGCCCAUAUGGGAUUAGCUCGUAGGUGGGGUAACGGCUCACCUAGGCGACGAUCCCUAGCUGGUCUGAGAGGAUGACCAGCCACACUGGAACUGAGACACGGUCCAGACUCCUACGGGAGGCAGCAGUGGGGAAUAUUGCACAAUGGACGAAAGCCUGAUGCAGCCAUGCCGCGUGUGUGAAGAAGGCCUUCGGGUUGUAAAGCACUUUCAGCGGGGAGGCGUUACCCGCAGAAGAAGCACCGGCUAACUCCGUGCCAGCAGCCGCGGUAAUAC